AGCGAACGCUGGCGGCAGGCCUAACACAUGCAAGUCGAGCGCCCCGCAAGGGGAGCGGCAGACGGGAGAGUAACACGUGGGAACAUGCCCUUCAGUACGGAACAACCAAGGGAAACUUUGGCUAAUACCGUAUACGCCCGUAAGGGGAAAGAUUUAUCGCUGAAGGAUUGGCCCGCGUCUGAUUAGCUAGUUGGUGGGGUAAUGGCCCACCAAGGCGACGAUCAGUAGCUGGUCUGAGAGGAUGAUCAGCCUCACUGGGACUGGGACACGGCCCAGACUCCUACGGGAGGCAGCAGUGGGGAAUAUUGGACAAUGGGCGCAAGCCUGAUCCAGCCAUGCCGCGUGAGUGAUGAAGGCCUUAGGGUUGUAAAGCUCUUUCGUCAGGGAAGAUAAUGACGGUACCUGAAGAAGAAGCCCCGGCUAACUUCGUGCCAGCAGCCGCAGUAACAC
rnacentral:rRNA from 1 species